GAUGAACGCUCGCGGCAGGCCUAAUACAUGCAAGUCGGACGGGAUCCAUCGGUAGCUUGCUAUCCAUGGUGAGAGUAGCGCACGGGUGCGUAACGCGUGAGCAACCUGCCUCCAUCAGGGGGAUAGCCUCUCGAAAGAGAGAUUAACACCGCAUAACAUAUCAGACCGGCAUCGGUCGGAUAUCAAAUAUUUAUAGGAUGGAGAUGGGCUCGCGUGACAUUAGCUUGUUGGUGGGGUAACGGCCCACCAAGGCGACGAUGUCUAGGGGCUCUGAGAGGAGAAUCCCCCACACUGGUACUGAGACACGGACCAGACUCCUACGGGAGGCAGCAGUAAGGAAUAUUGGUCAAUGGGCGGAAGCCUGAACCAGCCAUGCCGCGUGCAGGAUGACUGCCCUAUGGGUUGUAAACUGCUUUUGUCCGGGAAUAAACCUCCUUACGUGUAGGGAGCUGAAUGUACCGGAAGAAUAAGGAUCGGCUAACUCCGUG
rnacentral:rRNA from 1 species